UAAAAGAUAAGCUAAUUAAGCUAUUGGGUUCAUACCCCACUUAUGGAAAAUGCUUCUUCUCUUUUAA
rnacentral:tRNA from 1 species